GCCCCCGUAGUUCAACGGAUAGAACGGCGGACUCCUAAGCCGCAGAUAUAGGUUCAAUUCCUAUCGGGGGCA
rnacentral:tRNA from 1 species